rnacentral:rRNA from 1 species
GCUUAGCCGUAAACAUUGGUAGGCCUACCCGCCUGGAUACUACGAGCAUUAGCUUAAAAUCCAAAGGACUUGGCGGUGCUUUAGACCCCCCUAGAGGAGCCUGUUCUAUAACCGAUAGUCCUCGUUUGACCUCACCUUUUCUUGCCCGCCUAUAUACCGCCGUCGUCAGCUAACCCUGUGAAGGUCUUGUAGUUAGCACAAUUGAUAUAACCAAGAACGUCAGGUCGAGGUGUAGCGGAUGGAAAGGAAAGAAAUGGGCUACAUUCUCUCGAGAACUGAAAGAAGGUGGAUUUAGCAGUAAGUGAAAAGCAGAGUGUUCUACUGAAGCUGGCUCUAAAGCGCGC